UAUUGCACAAUGGGGGAAACCCUGAUGCAGCGACGCCGCGUGAGUGAAGAAGUAUUUCGGUAUGUAAAGCUCUAUCAUCAGGGAAGAUNNUGACGGUACCUGACUAAGAAGCCCCGCCUAACUACGUGCCAGCAGCCGCGGUAAUACGUAGGGGGCAAGCGUUAUCCGGAUUUACUGGGUGUAAAGGGAGCGUAGGCGGCCUGGCAAGUCUGGUGUGAAAUACCGGGGCCCAACCCCGGGACUGCAUUGGAAACUGCCAGGCUGGAGUGUCGGAGGGGCAGGCGGAAUUCCUAGUGUAGCGGUGAAAUGCGUAGAUAUUAGGAGGAACACCGGUGGCGAAGGCGGCCUGCUGGACGACAACUGACGCUGAGGCUCGAAAGCGUGGCGAGCAAACAGA
rnacentral:rRNA from 1 species